CCUCUGUGCAGAGAACUAAUAGGAUGGCCACACCAUGUCAGGAGGGUCCACAUGUCUGUCGCUGCCCACCCCAGUCUGACAAGAGUCCUCAGUGACAAGGAGAGGAGACAAGAGGAGAGGAGGUGGAGGGUGAGUAUGAACCCUUAUAUAGAAAAGGGAGAGGAGUGGAGGUGAUGGGUUAAUGUGAACCUCCUCUUUAAAAAGAGAGGAGAGAAGAGGAGAGGAGAGGAGGACAGGAGAGGAGGUGGAGGGCGAGUCUGAACCUUCUCUUUUAAAAGAGAGGAUAUGAGAGGAGACAAGGAGAGGAGAAGAGGAGAGGAGGUGGAGGGCGAGUGUGAACCUUCUCUAUUAAAAG